GAGAGUUAAAUAGUACGUGAAAUUGUUGAAAGGGAAACGAUUGAAGUCAGUCAUGCUAGUGAAAAUUCAGUUUGACGGGUUUUGGGUUUGGGAGUAGAGGCAGGGUCAAACCGUUUCUCUUUUGAACUUGGGAUUUGUCAGAUGCACUUUUUCUUUGGCAGGUCAGCGUCGAUUUCGGAGGUUGUAAAAUACUUGGGGUAAAGUAACUCUGCUUCGGUAGAGUAUUAUAGACCUUGAGGGAUGCAGCUUGCGGGAUCGAGGAUUGCAGCAAAUGCCUUUGGCUUGGCGCCUGAUCUCUGGAUGUUACCUCGCUUGUGACAACAUUCUUGCCUCCGGUGAGUACUAAUGCCCAUUAGGUUAGAGCGACCAGAAAUUUGCUAAGGAUGCUGACGUAAUGGCUUUAAACGA
rnacentral:rRNA from 1 species